rnacentral:rRNA from 1 species
AGCGAACGCUGGCGGCAGGCUUAACACAUGCAAGUCGAGCGGGCGUAGCAAUACGUCAGCGGCAGACGGGUGAGUAACGCGUGGGAACAUACCUUUUGGUUCGGAACAACACAGGGAAACUUGUGCUAAUACCGGAUAAGCCCUUACGGGGAAAGAUUUAUCGCCGAAAGAUUGGCCCGCGUCUGAUUAGCUAGUUGGUGAGGUAACGGCUCACCAAGGCGACGAUCAGUAGCNGGUCUGAGAGGAUGAUCAGCCACAUUGGGACUGAGACACGG